CAUGCGAUAGCUCAGUUGGUAGAGCGGGGGACUGUAGAUUUAUAAUUGUGAUCCCUAGGUCGCUGGUUAAAAUCCGGCUCGAAGGA
rnacentral:tRNA from 1 species